AUUGAACGCUGGCGGCAUGCUUUACACAUGCAAGUCGAACGGUAACAGGCCGCAAGGUGCUGACGAGUGGCGAACAGGUGAGUAAUGCAUCGGAACGUGCCCAGUCGUGGGGGAUAACGCAGCGAAAGCUGUGCUAAUACCGCAUACGAUCUAUGGAUGAAAGCGGGGGACCGUAAGGCCUCGCGCGAUUGGAGCGGCCGAUGUCAGAUUAGGUAGUUGGUGGGGUAAAGGCUCACCAAGCCAACGAUCUGUAGCUGGUCUGAGAGGACGACCAGCCACACUGGGACUGAGACACGGCCCAGACUCCUACGGGAGGCAGCAGUGGGGAAUUUUGGACAAUGGGCGCAAGCCUGAUCCAGCAAUGCCGCGUGCAGGAAGAAGGCCUUCGGGUUGUAAACUGCUUUUGUACGGAACGAAAAGGUUUGGGUUAAUACCCUGGGCUAAUGACGGUACCGUAAGAAUAAGCACCGGCUAACUACGUGACAGCCGCCGCCGUAA
rnacentral:rRNA from 1 species